ensembl:lncRNA
CCCGUGUUCUGUUACUGCACGGGAUGCAGUAAGCACCUUCAUAAUGUCACAGUCUGGGUGGCAGUGAAUCGGUGGCUCCCCUGGGGAAGGUCCUGGGGGCAGGGAAGUUGGCAGUGCCUCCAGGUCCCAGCAUGGUCCUGUGAGCUGCAGGGGUAGAUCUUGGCCAGGAGCAGCUGUCACUGCUCCAUUGAGCUGAUGAAUCUGUGACAUCGGUAAGGAACGAGCCCUAUAACUUUGGCUGCGAACACCGAUGACAGAGCAUUGAUGUGACCAUCCACAAAAAGAGGAUUCUAAGAUCCGCCUGCUGGGGAGCUGGGGCAGAGUAAGGGUUUCUGUAUCGCUGCUGGUUCACCUCAGUAUUGCUCCUACCACUCUCAGUCAGCAGCACCAAGUUCCCCAAGUGCUCCUUCUGAAAGAAACCCCAUGGAAAAUGAACCAUUCCUGUAGAAUUCUUGCUGAAGAUCUACCUACUUGGCUUAGUGAAGCUUCACCUGCCCAGAUUAAAAAGUUUACUCUGAUGCUGUUAUCCAGCAUCAGGAGAAGGAUGGCGGGCCACCUUUUUUUGCAGAUUAAAACUGCAGUCACCUGCUGGAGAUGGGCUAUGGAGAUGGUUAUUUGGCUCAGCAC